GGCAGGGUGGUGCAGUGGUUAGGAUGUCAGAGACUAGUACCCGGGAGAUCAGGGUUCAAAUCCCCACUCAGCCA